GAUGAACGCUGGCGGCGUGCCUAAUACAUGCAAGUCGAGCGAACAGACGAGGAGCUUGCUCCUCUGACGUUAGCGGCGGACGUGUGAGUAACACGUGGAUAACCUACCUAUAAGACUGGGAUAACUUCGGGAAACCGGAGCUAAUACCGGAUAAUAUAUUGAACCGCAUGGUUCAAUAGUGAAAGACGGUUUUGCUGUCACUUAUAGAUGGAUCCGCGCCGCAUUAUCUAGUUGGUAAGGUAACGGCUUACCAAGGCGACGAUGCGUAGCGACCUGAGAGGGUGAUCGGCCACACUGGAACUGAGACACGGUCAAGACUCCUACGGGAGGCAGCAGUAGGGAAUCUUCCGCAAUGGGCGAAAGCCUGACGGAGCAACGCCGCGUGAGUGAUGAAGGUCUUCGGAUCGUAAAACUCUGUUAUUAGGGAAGAACAAAUGUGUAAGUAACUAUGCACGUCUUGACGGUACCUAAUCAGAAAGCCACGGCUAACUACGUG
rnacentral:rRNA from 1 species